GCCCAGACUCCUACGGGAGGCAGCAGUGGGGAAUAUUGCACAAUGGGGGGAACCCUGAUGCAGCGACGCCGCGUGGGUGAAGGAGCACCUCGGUGCGUAAAGCCCUAUCGGCAGGGAAGAAACAGACGGUACCUGACUAAGAAGCCCCGGCUAACUACGUGCCAGCAGCCGCGGUAAUACGUAGGGGGCAAGCGUUAUCCGGAGUCACUGGGUGUAAAGGGAGCGUAGACGGCGACGCAAGUCUGGAGUGAAAGCCCGGGGCCCAACCCCGGGACUGCAUUGGGAACUGGCGUGCUGGAGUGCCGGAGGGGCAGGCGGAAUUCCUGGUGUAGCGGUGAAAUGCGUAGAUAUCAGGAGGAACACCGGUGGCGAAGGCGGCCUGCUGGAUGGAUACUGACGCUGAGGCCCGAAAGCGUGGGGAGCAAACAGGAUUAGAUACCCCCGUAGCA
rnacentral:rRNA from 1 species